rnacentral:lncRNA from 1 species
CUAUGAGAUUUGAAAAGCUGAGUCCACAAGUCUAUGGCCACAGUAGUGUGAUUAAUGAAAAAGUAUUUUCAUUUAGAAUCACUAUUAGACUUGAGCUGAUCGGAUCUAUCAUAUGACUGAUGAUGAGGUUUGACGAUUUAUCUAUGACCUACCAACUAGUCGGAACUCACGAUAGAGGAACUAUAUCAUACAUUAACUAUACCUAG